AUCGGCAGGCGGACUCCCAACCACUGUGCCACCAGGGAAGCCCCCUGUGACUUUUUUGAGCCUGUCUUGCAGGAUUAUUUGACUUUUAAACUCCGCGUGUAUACACCUUUCAUUUGUUUGUUGAGAUUAAAAACUGCAGAGCGUCUGGUUCCACGUGUAAGGAGGCUGGGAGUCCCCACUCCGUCUCAACAACAAGUAAAAGCUGAGCAGCCCGAAAAAUCAGCAGCUCUUCUUGGAUCUGUAAGAGAGUGGAGGAAGCAGAGCAAACCGCUGCCUCCAGGGUUGGAGAGACGAGCGAAUACAAGGAGUCCCGGCUGCCGCAGCAGAGACUCAGGAGCGGAAACCUCGUGGGAACCAGUGUCGAGGUAGGAAAACAGGAACUGCAGCUGACAAAUUGCUGCAGGCUCCAUGUGGACAAGUCUGAGGGUUAAAACCUCCAGGGGGUCCAGUCAUAAGGGGGUCCCCACACUACAUGGUGGUAUUUCUCUCCAGGAGCUUGACCAGAUUCCCACAGUGAAUACUGGAGAAGGAUCCCCUCGGGUUUCCAGCCGGGGAAGAGGAACCAGAACCGUUGUGAAAUAAGCCAGAGUACUUUGUUUUUCUUUGCAAGGCCUGACCUCAGGGCAACGAGUUAGCCAGAGCCUCACUGCUGGGGUGUUAUCAGAGCCUAACUGACCUGGGGAUGGGAAAUAACCAACUCCAGCCAUCCUGUGCACCUAAGGGAGGAGAAAAAACUGAGAAGCGUUUGUGAAGUUCACAGUCCAGAGACAUAGGCUCAUUGAAAGACAGACCUAAUCACAGGACUAUAGAAUGCUUCCCCUCCCCCAACUCCUAACCACAUUACUAAAGGCCCACUUGUAGCAUUUCCUUUUACCCAGUACAUCAUGUCCAACUAGCAAGAAGAAAUCAACGAGGCGUACCAGAAGGCAGAAAACAUAGUUUGAAGAGACAAAGCAGCCAUCAGAACCAGACAUAGCAGGAAUGUUGGAAUUAUCAGCCCAGGAAUUUAAAACAACUCCAAUUAAUAUGCUAAGGACUCCAAUGCAUAAAACAGCAUGUAAGAACAGAUGGGCAGUGGAAGCAGAGAGAUGGUAAUACUAAAAAGAACCAAAAAGAAAUGCUAGAGAUCAAAAAACACUGUAACAGAAAUGAAGAACGCCUUUGAUGGGCUUGUUAGUAGACUGGAUACAGCUGAGGAAAAACAGCUCUGAUCAAUAGAAUCCUCAAACACCAAAAAGCAAAGAGAAGACUGAAAAAAGCGACAACAUAAUAUACAAGGACUGUGGGAAGACUAAAAAAGGUGUAAUACACACGUAAUUGGGAAUACCAGGAGGAGGAGGAAAAGGAACAGAAGAAAUGUUUGAAAUGAUGAUGACUGAGAAUUUCUGCAAGUCGAUAUCAGACAUCAAGUCACAGAUCCAGGCAGCUCAGAGAACACCAAGCAAGAUAAAUAGCCCCCCAAAAACUACAACUUGGCGUAUCAUCUUAAAAUUACAGAAAAUCAAAACUAAAGAAAAAAUCCUGAAAGAAGCUAGACAAAAAAGCAGCUUUCCUAUAGAGAAACAGAUAAGAAUCAUGUCCAAAUUCUUUGCAGAAACCAUGCAAGCAAGAAGAGAGUGAUGUGAAAUAUUUAAAGGAUUGAGAGAAAAAAACUCACCAACUUCGAUUUCUGUACCCAGAGAAAUAAAGAAUUUCUCAAACAAAAACUGAACAAAUUUGCCAAGGUACCUGCCUUGCAAGAAAUGUGAGAAGUCUUUUAAGAGAGAAGGAAAAUAAUACAGGUCAGAAACUCAGAUCUACAUGAAGAAAGGAAGAGCAUCAAAGAAGGGAUAAAUGAAGGAAAAUCAGAAAGUUUGGGGGACCUAAAAUGUCAUCUCACUUGACUUGUGAAUGCACAGAAGAGCCUGGAGCAGACAGAGGACAGACAGAAGCUGUGGCAGACACCAUUGGUUGAUGCUGUAACAAGGUGCUGAGCCCCAGGGAAUGAAUCACGCUUGUUCUAAACCAGCCAAGACUGUGAUCAGUGAAAAAGACCUUUCAAAAGAAUGAAGAGUGUCGGGGGCUUCCCUGGUGGCACAGUGGUUAAGAAUCCGCCUGCCAGUGCAGGGGAUACGGGUUCGAACCCUGGUCCCGGAAGAUCCCACAUGCC